rnacentral:rRNA from 1 species
CGGUAACAGAUCCAGCUUGCUGGAUGCUGACGAGCGGCGGACGGGUGAGUAAUGCAUAGGAAUCUGCCCGAUAGUGGGGGAUAACCUGGGGAAACCCAGGCUAAUACCGCAUACGUCCUACGGGAGAAAGGGGGCUCCGGCUCCCGCUAUGGGAUGAGCCUAUGUCGGAUUAGCUAGUUGGUGAGGUAACGGCUCACCAAGGCCACGAUCCGUAGCUGGUCUGAGAGGAUGAUCAGCCACAUCGGGACUGAGACACGGCCCGAACUCCUACGGGAGGCAGCAGUGGGGAAUAUUGGACAAUGGGGGCAACCCUGAUCCAGCCAUGCCGCGUGUGUGAAGAAGGCCCUCGGGUUGUAAAGCACUUUCAGCGAGGAAGAACGCCUAGCGGUUAAUACCCGCUAGGAAAGACAUCACUCGCAGAAGAAGCACCGGCUAACUCCGUGCCAGCAGCCGCGGUAAUACGGAGGGUGCAAGCGUUAAUCGGAAUUACUGGGCGUAAAGCGCGCGUAGGUGGCUUGAUAAGCCGGUUGUGAAAGCCCCGGGGCUCAACCUGGGAACGGCAUCCGGAACUGUCAAGCUAGAGUGCAGGAGAGGAAGGUAGAAUUCCCGGUGUAGCGGUGAAAUGCGUAGAGAUCGGGAGGAAAUACCA